rnacentral:rRNA from 1 species
GACGAACGCUGGCGGCGUGCUUAACACAUGCAAGUCGAACGGAAAGGCCCUGCUUUUGUGGGGUGCUCGAGUGGCGAACGGGUGAGUAACACGUGAGUAACCUGCCCUUGACUUUGGGAUAACUUCAGGAAACUGGGGCUAAUACCGGAUAGGAGCUCCUGCUGCAUGGUGGGGGUUGGAAAGUUUCGGCGGUUGGGGAUGGACUCGCGGCUUAUCAGCUUGUUGGUGGGGUAGUGGCUUACCAAGGCUUUGACGGGUAGCCGGCCUGAGAGGGUGACCGGCCACAUUGGGACUGAGAUACGGCCCAGGCUCCUACGGGAGGCAGCAGUGGGGAAUAUUGCACAAUGGGCGGAAGCCUGAUGCAGCAACGCCGCGUGCGGGAUGACGGCCUUCGGGUUGUAAACCGCUUUCGCCUGUGACGAAGCGUGGGUGACGGUGAUGGGUAAAGAAGCACCGGCUAACUACGUG